AACGAACGCUGGCGGCAUGCCUAACACAUGCAAGUCGAACGAGACCUUCGGGUCUAGUGGCGCACGGGUGCGUAACACGUGGGAAUCUGCCCUUGGGUUCGGAAUAACUCGCCGAAAGGCGUGCUAAUACCGGAUGAUGUCGUAAGACCAAAGAUUUAUCGCCCAGGGAUGAGCCCGCGUAAGAUUAGGUAGUUGGUGGGGUAACGGCCCACCAAGUCGACGAUCAGUAGCCGGACUGAGAGGUUGAACGGCCACAUUGGGACUGAGAUACGGCCCAG
rnacentral:rRNA from 1 species